AUUGAACGCUGGCGGCAUGCCUACACAUGCAAGUCGAACGAGCGGCGGACGGGUGAGUAAUAUAUCGGAAUCUGCCUAGUAGCGGGGGAUAACUACUCGAAACGGUGCUAUACCGCAUACCAUCAGAUCGGCCCAUAUCGGAUUAGCUUGUAGGUGGGGUAAAGGCUCACCAAGGCAACGAUCCGUAGCUGGUCUGAGAGGAUGACCAGCCAAACUGGGACUGAGACACGGCCCAGACUCCUACGGGAGGCAGCAGUGGGGAAUUUUGGACAAUGGGGGAAACCCUGAUCCAGCCAUCCCGCGUGUAUGAUGAAGGCUUCGGGUUGUAAAGUACUUUUGGCAGAGAGGCGGUAUCUGCAGAAUAAGCACCGGCUAACUACGUGCCAGCAGCCGCGGUAAUAC
rnacentral:rRNA from 1 species